GCAGUUAUGGCUGAGUGGUUAAAGCGUUGGACUCUAUCUCCAAGGGGGCUCUUAUCCCCGCGUAGGUUCGAAUCCUACUGACUGCA